ACAAAUGGAGUUAAUUGCUCCCCACGACAAGCACACACCAAGAUACACAAGAUAGAAAAAGUAGGGGAACCCAUAGAACUACACCAGAUUAAAAAAAACCUAUUAUUCCGAGCAGAAGGGGGAGGUCUACUCUCAUGAGGAGCAAGGUCCACUUAGUUUCCUAAAUGUCUAAAAAAUCUAAGGAUUAAUAAACAAUAAGCUUUGUCACUUUCUAUUUUUUAAUCCUACUACCCAAUUCACAAACAUCGAAGAAACCAA
rnacentral:lncRNA from 1 species